UUGGGUCUGGUGUUUGGAUGGCCCUGUGUGGAGGCAGGGGUUGCACUCCACGAUCCCUGUGGUCCCUUCCAGCUCAGGAUAUUCUAUGAUUCUGUGAUUGAUUCUAUGAAAUACUUAGCUCAGUAGAUGGGCAAACAGAAGACCACAGGGCUGAUGUUAUGAUGGUAACCAAAGAACAUGCAGAAAGAGGGCUUCACUUCCUGAGCAUCUGCUUGAAAGCAUUUGAGAGCACCUGGCUGAUGCUCUGGACAUUGGAUGCUUUUGGAUAGUUUGAACUGACAUCUGAAAAUGAGACCACCCCCCUCCACCCCACUGUGUGCGUUCACCAUAUUUGCCUGGGGAUUUAACCCAAGGCUUUGUAACCCCUGUGGAGGGGACAGACGUGAACACAAUUCCCUGCUUACAAAGGAGUCAGAUGUUCCGGUGAAAUCCCAAGAUUAAAACAAGCAGCUUCUCAGCCUGGAUUCUGAUGUCAAGAUUUACCGGCAGAUUUUACAAGUCAGAUGCGAGAUGCAGAAUAAUACCUCCAGCAAUGUGGUUUCCUGAAUCUAAACCGCAGCGUAACCACAACAGACAGGAUGAUUGACUAAGUAAUCCCUUCUUGUUCUUUUUCUUUUUGUUUCUCCUACAAAUGAUGCUUCAACUUUGCAUUUUUAUCCCGCUCAUUAAGGAACUGCAACAGAAGUGGAACGGCAAGCGCCUGCCCCAUCCUGCUUUUAACGUGGCCUCUCCUGUCCCUCCAGUUUGGCCCUGUAAUGGGAGGAUGCCAGCUGUGCUGGAUCAUUAAUUUGCAGCCUUCCAAAGCAAUGGCAUUAGCGUGGUGCUCUGCAGUGAGUGGAGCCGGAGGGCAGUUUGCAGUGCGUAUUACUGGAGCCCUGGUGCUGGCUGACGUGAUGCAGCAGUGCAGGGGCUGAUCCUGCACACGCACAGCGCCUGGAGGGAUGGGGCACAGGAGGGCAUCCCAAGAUGCAGAAUGAGGAAUCCUGAUGGGAAGCCAGCAGAGUAGGUGGCGUGAACACAAGGAACAAAAUGGAUAUGAAAUUGUUUGUUUGUUUGCUUAUUAUUUUGGGAGGAGGUGCAGGCAGCUUAAGGGUAAAAUACAGCUGUGGCCCUCCAGAUUUUAACCACAUCUUGUGUUUUGAGGACUCUUCCUCUUUCAAACCCCCCUGGAGACAUCCUGCAGCAUCCGCUCUCCUGAUAAUUCCUCCUCUCCUCGUAAUUCUGGCAAAGCUCUCUCCAAAAUGGGUCACUUCUCCAAAUAAUGAGCGUGGAGCUAUUUUCAGUGACCGCUGUUAUGGGACAAGGGCAUUUAUGUUUUCACACAGCUGGGAGUAAGAUAUGAAGUAUACCAGAGUUUAGGUGUAAGUGGUGCUUCACAUGCCUGCAAGCUGUAAUGGGGAAUUUUGCUGGAAAAUAAACAAAAAAACCCACUGAGACUGGUGCUGUAGAGAUGGAUAAGCACACACACACUGAGAAGGAAGCACAGAGAGAGGGGAAAAUGUCCCCAGAAGAGAACAAGGUACAUUUGUGAAAGACAUCUCUGUGCUAAGUGCAUUAAAAUCAGUA